UAUAAUUUAAAGUAAGGCCUGCCCACUGAAGUUUUGAAGGGCCGCAGUAUUUUGACUGUGCAAAGGUAGCAUAAUCAUUAGUUUUUUAAUUGAAAGCUAGAAUGAAAGGUUAAAUGAAAAAAAGACUGUCUUAAUUUUAAUUUUUAUGAAAUUUAUUUUUAAGUUAAAAAGCUUAAAUAAAGUUUAAAGACGAGAAGACCCUAUAGAGUUUAAUUUUAAUAAUUAAUAAGUUUUUAGAAUUAAAUAUUUUUUGAAAUUUUAAAAUUUAAUUGGGGUGAUUGAAAAAUUGAAUUAACUUUUUUUUGUUUAUUACAUAAAUUUAUG
rnacentral:rRNA from 1 species